UGGGGAAUCUUGCACAAUGGGGGAAACCCUGAUGCAGCGACGCCGCGUGAGCGAUGAAGGUUUUCGAAUCGUAAAGCUCUGUCCUAUGGGAAGAUAAUGACGGUACCAUAGGAGGAAGCCCCGGCUAACUACGUGCCAGCAGCCGCGGUAAUACGUAGGGGGCGAGCGUUGUCCGGAAUUACUGGGCGUAAAGGGUUGGCAGGCGGCAUGACAAGUCCGAUGUAAAAGGCGAAAGCUCAACUUUCGUAAGCAUCGGAAACUGUCAAGCUUGAGUGAAGGAGAGGCAAGUGGAAUUCCUAGUGUAGCGGUGGAAUGCGUAGAUAUUAGGAGGAAUACCGGUGGCGAAGGCGACUUGCUGGACUUCAACUGACGCUGAGGAACGAAAGCGUGGGUAGCAAACAGG
rnacentral:rRNA from 1 species